rnacentral:rRNA from 1 species
UGGGGAAUAUUGCACAAUGGGCGAAAGCCUGAUGCAGCGACGCCGCGUGAGGGAUGACGGCCUUCGGGUUUGUAAAACCUCUUUCAGCAGGGAAGAAGCGAAACGUGACGGUACCUGCAGAAGAAGCGCCGGCUAACUACGUGCCAGCAGCCGCGGUAAUACGUAGGGCGCAAGCGUUGUCCGGAAUUAUUGGGCGUAAAGAGCUCGUAGGCGGUUAGUCGCGUCUGCUGUGAAAAUCUCGAGGCUCAACCUCGGGCUUGCAGUGGGUACGGCUGACUAGAGUGCGGUAGGGGAUGACUGGAAUUCCUGGUGUAGCGGUGGAAUGCGCAGAUAUCAGGAGGAACACCGAUGGGCGAAGGCAGGUCACUGGGCCGCAACUGACGCUGAGGAGCGAAAGCAUGGGGAGCGAACAGGAUUAGAUACCCUGGUAGUCCAUGCCGUAAACGUUGGGCACUAGGCUGUGGGGUCCAUUCCACGGAUUCCGUGCCGC